rfam:Streptomyces pristinaespiralis ATCC 25486 chromosome, whole genome shotgun sequence.
GCCGGUCCUCGGUAGUGGCCCCCGGACAUCGUCCCGGGUGCUUCGAUCGAAGACCGGC